rnacentral:sRNA from 1 species
GGUUCUGAGACGCACAGUAAUUUACCCAAAGGCAUACAGCUUGUGAGUGGCAGAACUUUGGAGUCUGACUCCAAGGCCCCUUCGCAGCUACUUCAUGAGAUGGCCUCCUUGGGAAAAGCCUGACUGUUGAACUGUGGGGGAGAAUGGGGGAGGAGUUUAGGGGUUGGGGUGCUGGCACAGUGCUUGGAUUCCCUGACCCAGCUGGUUUUCCUCCUCUUGACAGAAAAACCGGAAGCGUAGGAACCGAAAGAAGAAGAAAAAGCCCCAGCGGGUGCGAGGGGUGUCCUCUGAGAGCUCUGGGGACCGGGAGAAAGACUCAACCCGGUCCCGUGGCUCUGAUUCCCCAGCAGCUGAUGUUGAGAUUGAGUAUGUGACUGAAGAACCUGAAAUUUACGAGCCCAACUUUAUCUUCUUUAAGAGGAUCUUUGAGGCUUUUAAGCUCACUGAUGAUGUGAAGAAGGAGAAAGAGAAGGAGCCAGAGAAACUUGACAAACUGGAGAACUCUGCAGCCCCCAAGAAGAAGGGAUUUGAAGAGGAGCACAAGGACAGUGAUGAUGACAGCAGUGAUGACGAGCAGGAAAAGAAGCCAGAAGCCCCCAAGCUGUCCAAGAAGAAGUUGCGCCGAAUGAACCGCUUCACUGUGGCUGAACUCAAGCAGCUGGUGGCUCGGCCCGAUGUCGUGGAGAUGCACGAUGUGACAGCGCAGGACCCUAAGCUCUUGGUUCACCUCAAGGCCACUCGGAACUCUGUGCCUGUGCCACGCCACUGGUGUUUUAAGCGCAAAUACCUGCAGGGCAAACGGGGCAUUGAGAAGCCCCCCUUCGAGCUGCCAGACUUCAUCAAACGCACAGGCAUCCAGGAGAUGCGAGAGGCCCUGCAGGAGAAGGAAGAACAGAAGACCAUGAAGUCAAAAAUGCGAGAGAAAGUUCGGCCUAAGAUGGGCAAAAUUGACAUCGACUACCAGAAACUGCAUGAUGCCUUCUUCAAGUGGCAGACCAAGCCAA